rnacentral:rRNA from 1 species
GGGCCCGCACAAGCGGUGGAGGAUGUGGUUUAAUUCGACGCAACGCGAAGAACCUUACCAGGGCUUGACAUCCGGCGAAUCUCUUCGAAAGAAGAGAGUGCCUUCGGGAGCGCCGAGACAGGUGGUGCAUGGCUGUCGUCAGCUCGUGUCGUGAGAUGUUGGGUUAAGUCCCGCAACGAGCGCAACCCUCGGAUUUAGUUGCCAGCAUUUAGUUGGGCACUCUAGAGAGACCGCCGGUGACAAACCGGAGGAAGGUGGGGACGACGUCAGGUCAUCAUGGCCCUUACGACCUGGGCUACACACGUGCUACAAUGGCUGGUACAGAGGGUUGCGAAGUCGCGAGGCGAAGCUAAUCCCUUAAAGCCAGUCGUAGUCCGGAUUGCAGUCUGCAACUCGACUGCAUGAAGUCGGAAUCGCUAGUAAUCG